CAGUGCGGGCUGCCCGCUGGAGGGAGGUAAACAGCAUGCACGCUGUCUGCUCCCGGAGGGCAGACACACUCAGAGGCUGGACCGCCUGCCAUCUCUCCUGCUCCCCGGACCACCAACACAAGCACACAAAACUAGCCACCUCCCCUUGGAAUUUCCACACCUGCUCCAGUCUGGCCCGGGAAAAGGAAAAGGGGAAUUGGAGACACACCUGGGAGUGGAGAGGGCUCCAGAGGCAGUGAGAUGGAUCCUGGGGUGGAGGUACCACUUCAGCCCCCAGCGCCGGGCACUGCACCGCCGGGAAACAAUGCCCACCACGGCGAGGCGAGGCAGGACUUCUCGGGGAAGGCACUUCCCUCCCGG